UACUCCUACGGGAGGCAGCAGUGGGGAAUUAUGGACAAUGGAUGCGCGCAACGCUGAUCCAGCAAUGCCGCGUGAGUGAAGAAGGCCUUCGGGUUGUAAAGCUCUUUUGUCAGGGAAGAUACGGUGAGUUCUAAUACAGCUUGCUAAUGACGGUACCUGAAGAAUAAGCACCGGCUAACAACGUGCCAGCAGCCGCGGUAAUAC
rnacentral:rRNA from 1 species